CACCUUCAACUCUCCGGAGACCUCUUUGAUUUGCGUAAAUGACAUGGCUUCACCACUUGCACCACUUGCUAAUUACCAUGUCCGUCACCA
ensembl:ncRNA E04D5.8 ncRNA